rnacentral:rRNA from 1 species
CAGCCGCCGCGGUAAUACGUAGGGUGCGAGCGUUAAUCGGAAUUACUGGGCGUAGAGGGUGCGUAGGCGGUUAGUUAAGUCUGUCGUGAAAUCCCCGGGCUCAACCUGGGAACUGCAUUCGUGACUGGCAAGCUAGAGUAUGGCAGAGGGGGGUGGAAUUCCACGUGUAGCAGUGAAAUGCGUAGAUAUGCGGAGGAACACCGAUGGCGAAGGCAAUCCCCUGACCUGUACUGACGCUCAUGCACGAAAGCGUGGGGAGCAGACAGGAUUAGAUACCCGGGUAGUCCCUGUCUCUUAUACC